rnacentral:rRNA from 1 species
GAUGGAUAACAGGUUGAUAUUCCUGUACCACCUAUAAUCGUUUUAAUCGAUGGGGGGACGCAGUAGGAUAGGCGAAGCGUGCGAUUGGAUUGCACGUCUAAGCAGUAAGGCUGAGUAUUAGGCAAAUCCGGUACUCGUUAAGGCUGAGCUGUGAUGGGGAGAAGACAUUGUGUCUUCGAGUCGUUGAUUUCACACUGCCGAGAAAAGCCUCUAGAUAGAAAAUAGGUGCCCGUACCGCAAACCGACACAGGUAGUCAAGAUGAGAAUUCUAAGGUGAGCGAGCGAACUCUCGUUAAGGAACUCGGCAAAAUGACCCCGUAACUUCGGGAGAAGGGGUGCUCUUUAGGGUUAACGCCCAGAAGAGCCGCAGUGAAUAGGCCCAAGCGACUGUUUAUCAAAAACACAGGUCUCUGCUAAACCGUAAGGUGAUGUAUAGGGGCUGACGCCUGCCCGGUGCUGGAAGGUUAAGAGGAGUGGUUAGCUUCUGCGAAGCUACGAAUCGAAGCCCCAGUAAACGGCGGCCGUAACUAUAACGGUCCUAAGGUAGCGAAAUUCCUUGUCGGGUAAGUUCCGACCCGCACGAAAGGCGUAACGAUUUGGGCACUGUCUCAACGAGAGACUCGGUGAAAUCAUAGUACCUGUGAAGAUGCAGGUUACCCGCGACAGGACGGAAAGACCCCGUGGAGCUUUACUGUAGCCUGAUAUUGAAAUUCGGCACAGCUUGUACAGGAUAGGUAGGAGCCUUUGAAACGUGAGCGCUAGCUUACGUGGAGGCGCUGGUGGGAUACUACCCUAGCUGUGUUGGCUUUCUAACCCGCACCACUUAUCGUGGUGGGAGACAGUGUCAGGCGGGCAGUUUGACUGGGGCGGUCGCCUCCUAAAAGGUAACGGAGGCGCUCAAAGGUUCCCUCAGAAUGGUUGGAAAUCAUUCAUAGAGUGUAAAGGCAUAAGGGAGCUUGACUGCGAGACCUACAAGUCGAGCAGGGUCGAAAGACGGACUUAGUGAUCCGGUGGUUCCGCAUGGAAGGGCCAUCGCUCAACGGAUAAAAGCUACCCCGGGGAUAACAGGCUUAUCUCCCCCAAGAGUUCACAUCGACGGGGAGGUUUGGCACCUCGAUGUCGGCUCAUCGCAUCCUGGGGCUGUAGUCGGUCCCAAGGGUUGGGCUGUUCGCCCAUUAAAGCGGUACGCGAGCUGGGUUCAGAACGUCGUGAGACAGUUCGGUCCCUAUCCGUCGUGGGCGUAGGAAAUUUGAGAGGAGCUGUCCUUAGUACGAGAGGACCGGGAUGGACAUACCUCUGGUGUACCAGUUGUCGUGCCAACGGCAUAGCUGGGUAGCUAUGUGUGGACGGGAUAAGUGCUGAAAGCAUCUAAGCAUGAAGCCCCCCUCAAGAUGAGAUUUCCCAACUUCGGUUAUAAGAUCCCUCAAAGAUGAUGAGGUUAAUAGGUUCGAGGUGGAAGCAUGGUGACAUGUGGAGCUGACGAAUACUAA